rnacentral:rRNA from 1 species
AUUGAACGCUGGCGGCAGGCCUAACACAUGCAAGUCGAGCGGAUGAAGGGAGCUUGCUCCUGGAUUCAGCGGCGGACGGGUGAGUAAUGCCUAGGAAUCUGCCUGGUAGUGGGGGAUAACGUCCGGAAACGGGCGCUAAUACCGCAUACGUCCUGAGGGAGAAAGUGGGGGAUCUUCGGACCUCACGCUAUCAGAUGAGCCUAGGUCGGAUUAGCUAGUUGGUGGGGUAAAGGCCUACCAAGGCGACGAUCCGUAACUGGUCUGAGAGGAUGAUCAGUCGCACUGGAACUGAAACACGGUCCAGACUCCUACGGGAGGCAGCAGUGGGGAAUAUUGGACAAUGGGCGAAAGCCUGAUCCAGCCAUGCCGCGUGUGUGAAGAAGGUCUUCGGAUUGUAAAGCACUUUAAGUUGGGAGGAAGGGCAGUAAGUUAAUACCUUGCUGUUUUGACGUUACCAACAGAAUAAGCACCGGCUAACUUCGUG